rnacentral:rRNA from 1 species
UACGGAGGAUGCAAGCGUUAUCCGGAAUGAUUGGGCGUAAAGGGUCCGCAGGUGGCAAUGUAAGUCUGCUGUCAAAGAAUGAGGCUUAACCUCAUCAAGGCAGUGGAAACUACAUAGCUAGAGUACGGUCGGGGUAGAAGGAAUUCCUGGUGUAGCGGUGAAAUGCGUAGAGAUCGGGAAGAACAUCGGUGGCGAAAGCGCUCUACUGGACCGCAACUGACACUCAGGGACGAAAGCUAGGGGAGCGAAUGGG